AUGAAAUAUGAAUACAUAGUUACAACUACAGUUGGGUCACAUUUCAAGAAAAAGACCAUCGGGUCUACAAUGCAAGACAAUGUGUUCCAAGAUAUUGUAGGCAAUGAGUAUAAAAACAUGAAAUUCGGACAUAGAAAUAAGACAACAGAAGACCACAAUAACAACAUUACUAUUACGACGAGGGACACUAAGCAUAUGAAGAUUCAUCUCCUGGUUCCAGCAUUGCAAGUAAAUUUUAAUUCUGCAAAGUCAAGGGUGAUGAAAUACUUGGAAAGAUAUAGUGAAAAUCGGAUGUUAUUCUUCCUGAUAUCAACUCGCUGGGAGGAACUAACAAACAAAAAGUUUUAUGUACCUUGCUUCCCUUUGAAUCUUUUGGUAGUCUACAAACAAAUCAUCUUCGAUCCCAGAUCAUGCAUUAGUUAG
rnacentral:rRNA from 1 species